rnacentral:rRNA from 1 species
AACUUUCAGCAACGGAUCUCUUGGCUCUCGCAUCGAUGAAGAACGCAGCGAAAUGCGAUAAGUAAUGUGAAUUGCAGAAUUCAGUGAAUCAUCGAAUCUUUGAACGCACCUUGCGCCCUUUGGCUAUUCUGAAGGGCAUGCCUGUUUGAGUAUCGUG